GCCGGAAUAGCUCAGCGGUAGAGCAGCGGUUUUGUAAACCGAAGGUCGGGGGUUCAAUCCCCUCUUCCGGCACCA
rnacentral:tRNA from 5 species